rnacentral:lncRNA from 1 species
UUCCAUGAUUAUAAACACAGGGAAGGAUGAAUGUCUUUAAAACCUAUAGUCUUUUAAAAUAAAGACUAAUGCAAGGUUGCUGAACAAGCAGUCCUAGACCCUGGCCUCAAGGCCCACAGAGACUGUUGAUCAGGGCCCUCCCAUCACAGGAGAGAACUGGAAUGGAGCUGCUGGGAGUCAGGAUAGAACUGCUGCUUCUGUCUCUCUGGGUGUGCGCAAUCUUUGAUUGGCAUGUGAACUCCCUGACUCUGUUUCUGUAUCUCUGAAGAGGAGUCUGAACACUGAUCAGGACAGGAGUAUUAGACGUGUCUGGCUCAGGAUGCAGUUACAAACAAAGCUGAUUCAACAAGGCAUGGUUUUAUCUACUACAAAGGAUAUCAUUUGGGAAGGAAUUUCUGGGAACUGCUCCCAAGAGAGCCAUUGGACCAUGUGGUAAACAACUCCUAGCUGAUAGAUUAUUGGGUAAAGAUAAACCUGGAUGAUCCCGUGCUUAGAAAGGUUCCUGAUUAUAAUGAAUAAGACGUAGCGGUGGCAUGCCCAGUAUACCAUAGUGUGCUAGGCACAAAUAUACAUCACCCUUGUUUUUGUGGAUGGCAAACUAUUAAACAGAAUAGGAAAGAACGGUGGAUUCCUGAUGGGAGUAGAACAGUAGGUACCACGUAGUGAUUCUGACUUCCUCUGGGAAUAGCCCCACCCUGAGGUGAAGAAGGC